CCGCGCGCUGGGCCACGGUGGGCGGGCGCCGCGUGUUACCGUCGCGCGAUGUCCGACAAACCCCAGGUGGCGGCGACGCUGCGGCCGUUGCGGGAGGA
rnacentral:tRNA from 1 species